ensembl:lncRNA
UUUUUUUUUUUUUUUUUGCUCUGUCACCCAUGUUGGAAUCUCAGCUCAGUGCAGCCUCAACGGCCUGACCCUCCCGGCUCAGCCUCCCGAGUAGCUGGGACCACAGGCCUGGCUAAUUUGUUUAUUUAUUGAGAGAUGAGAUACGAGUGUUGCCCAGGCUGGUCUGGAACUUCUGGCCUCCCACGUCAGCCUCCCAAAGUGCUGGGAUGACAGUCAUGAGCCAGCACUUCUUCUUUCCUCAUUCUUGACCUUCUGUGUUCCUUUACUUUCUUUUUGCCUGCCCAUCUUGUUGCACCAGAGUCUUAGGGCUCAGAGCCAGCAAAUGCCAGGUUCUUGUCUCCACCUGCAUCCUGAUUUAUUUCCCUUGCUUUUUGGUGUUUUGCCAAAUUUUAGCAAUAUCCUGCCCAUGCCAUUUAAUAGGUUAUGUGUAGUGUAAAUUCUACCAUAUUUUUUAUGUAAUUGAAUUCCACAUGGCUGGAAUGAGGAAACUUGGCACUUGCAUCGUAUCUUUCUGAGUGUUCUGUUGUGUUGGUCACCUUCCCAAUGGCUCCCAUCGUGGACUGAGAAUAUAAGUAGAUGACUAAACUACAGGUCACACAUCUCAGUAUCUACCAUAUGAAUGGUUUUCCAUGAUUCAUUGUUAAAAAAUAAAACAGUACAUACAUUUGUUUUUUAAUAAUGCCUUUUGAUUUAUUUUUCUCAAAAAGCUCAGUCGAACUGCAAAAAAGACACUAACAAAUGAAAAUAACACUGCAUUUAGAUUAGUUUUGGAAGAUAUUUGAGAAGAAUAUGCUUGUGAGUAGAGACUGUCCUAGAGAUGAUGGAAGGCCUGUCUGGAUUCUGCUGUGCAGGUGUCUAGUAUCUGGUGCUGUGGAGUAAUAAUAGUCCACUGCCCACGUGAACAAGAUGCACCUGUUGCAGGGAAUAAUUCUGCUGAUUCAUACAAUAAUCACUGCUUUUUAAGAGGGGAAAAAUAGCUUGUAACAGAUUGCUUUAACAAAGUGAUAGACCAUAAAUACACCUUAAAUACUUCUAUUUUUGUGGUUCAUUCCUGUAAUCCCAGUAUUUUAGGAGGCCGACACAGGAGGAUUGCUUAAGCCCAGGAGUUCAAGACCAGGCUGGGCAACAUAACUAGACUUCUUCUCUACAAAUAAUUUAAAAAUUAGCUAGGUGUAGUGGCACACACCUGCAGCCCCACCAAUCCUUGGAAGGAUUACCUGAGCCCAGAAGGUUGAGCCGUGAUUGCACCACUGCCCUCUAGCCUGGGCGACAGAGAGAGACCUUGUCUCAAAGAAACACCCAAAACCCUUCUAUUUUUGACUUGUUCAUUUACAUUUUUCUUUUAUAAUUUACCAACUGAUAUGGUUUGCCUCUAUGACUGCACCCACAUCUCAUGAAUUGUAAUAAUCCCCAUGUGGCAAGAGCAGGACCAGGUGGAGAUAACUGAAUCAUGGGGUGGUUUCUGCCAUGCUGAUCUCAUGACAGUGAGUUCUCACAAGAUGUGAUGGUUUCAUAAGGGGCUUCCCCCUUUGCUUGGCACUCAUCCUCUCUCCUGCCGCCUUGUGAAGAGGUGCCUUCUGCCAUGAUUGUAAGUUUCCUGAGGUCUCCCCAGCCAAGCAGAUCUUUGAGUCAAUUAAACCUCUUUACUUUAUAAAUCACCCAGUUUUGGGCAGUUCUUUACAGCAGUGUGACAGCAGACUAAUAUACCAACGAAUACAAUGUAUAUAGAAAUCGAAAUGCAAAGAGAAUGAAGGAAGAAGGUGCGUUCAAAGCAAGCUCUAUCAGUUACCCUCUC